AGGAGGGCCCCUGGGAGGGUAACCACGAGAUUCACACGGGCUCACGAGGAUUUGGUAGCCCCACAAAUCCUUGGUCCCUGUGGCACCUCCUUUGCAGACGAGAGUUGGCAAUCAGACAGAACAGUUCUUGAGGCUGCACACCUGGCCUAGGGGGAGGGGCCGGGGGCCAGGUGCAGCCCGGAGCAAGCGGAGGGACUGGAGGAAACUGGGCCGGGCUCCAGCGCAGGGUAACGGAGAGGUGGGAUCAGAUCAGGACUGGGGAACAAGGGCUUCGCCCCCCACCUCUCCCUGCCUUGAGAAGCCACUGGAGGAUUCUGAGCCUGCGAGAGACACGGUUGGACUUGCGUUUUAUAAGGAUGGUUUGGGCUUCAGUGCGGAAAACAGGCUGAAGAGGAAUGAGAGGGUGAAGCCGGGAGAAGGUCAGCUAACACAGAGGAGUGGGGAUGGCCACUGGCCCCUGGGUCCCAGGAGCCCAGAAGGGGCCAGGUUUCCCGCACGUUUCAAGUUUGAGCUGACAAGACUCGCUGGUCUGGAUGGGAUACAAGAGAGACAGGCGCCGAGGACACUUCCAAGCGUUUUGACCUGAGGAAAUGAAAGCAAGGUGUUUCCAUUUGCUGUGGGAGGGCAGGUUGGAGGCUAGCAGGUGGGGGACACACUGUUUGGAACUGGUUAAGCGUCAGGAGCCGUGAGCUGUCCACCAGAGAUGUUGGGCAGGCCUGGAGUGCAGGUGCAGGGGGCCAGCUAGAGGCAGGCGGCUUUUGGCAGGGGGGUGUCCCUAGAAAGAUGGUUCUCAGCCCCAUGGAAGGAAGAGACCAUCCAUGGAGAGCUGCGACAGACAGAAGAAGCAGAGUCAGGAUCCCUGGGCCAGGGCCAGGUUAACAGGGAGACGAGGAGCAAGAGGAAAGGUGGGAGGUCAAGAGAAGGGCGUGUUCAGAGCGGAGGGAGUGACCAGCUGUGCCCAUUGCUGCUGGCUUUUGUCCCAUGACGGAAUGUGGGAUAACGUCGGUAGCACAGAGAAAAAGAUUUGUUGCCAGACAGUGCGGGCAAGUGGAAGGCCCUUUCAGGGCAGGAGGAGAUGGUCGGAGGGUCCUAGGGCAGCAGAACGAUUCAGUCGUGUCCAACUCUUUGUGGCCCCAUGGACUGCAGCACACCAGGCUUCCCUGUCCUUCACCAUCUCCCGGAGUUUCCUCAAACUCAUGUCCAUUGAGUCAGUGAUGCCAUCUAACCAUCUCAUCCUAUCGUCCCCUUCUCUUAUAAUAAUAAUAGUAGUAAUAAUAAAUACAAAUCAGCUUAAAACUGUAU
ensembl:lncRNA